UCAGCUUCGUCUUCAAGCAUAGGAACCUAUUUCAAAUUUCGUCUUCGUCUUUGCAUAACACUUGAAGGCAAGCUUUUGUUUCGUCUUCAAGCCUUCAGAGAAAAACAUUCUGCCCACCAAAGAGAAUCCAUUUCUCAUUUCAUCUUCAAGCCAAGCCUCCAUUUUUGUCUUCAAGCCUCUAGUUUCAGAACUCAUUCCGUCGCCUCCUUCAAAUAGCCUCUAUCCCAGUUCGAGAAACCCACACUUCCGUCGACUCCCCCUUUGGUCGCCACCCCUUUAGACCCAUUCCGUGGCCUCCCUUCAAGCCUCUGUCCUAGUUCGAAAAGCUUCUGUCGACUCACCAUUGUCACGCCGAAAGGGACCUAUGGCAAAUGCUUGUCUGGGAUUGAUGAUUCAAAGCAAAUGACUAGGGAAGGUUCUUUGCAUUUGACCGCUUUGCGAGAUGAUGCUAAUCAGGUUGGGCAUUCUUGUAGAUUUUUUAGUUGGUAUGAUCCGGAAAUCCUACCAUAUGGUGA